GGUGGCUCAGUGGUAGAGUGCUUGCCUUGCAUGCAUGAGGCCCUUAGUUCGAUUCCUUAGCACCA
rfam:Dipodomys ordii contig_33044, whole genome shotgun sequence.